GGGCGUCAAGGGCAAGCUCUCCGAAAGGAGAUGCGCGCAAAGCUAUGGGUCUAAGGUCCGGGCAGAGUGGGACCGGACUAUGAUUGCCAGGCUACCGUU
rfam:Moorella glycerini strain NMP genome assembly, contig: M_glycerini_NMP_DRAFT_scaffold-64